rnacentral:rRNA from 1 species
AAUAGCAUACUCAUUUGACGUUAGCUGCAGAAGAAGCACCGGCUAACUCCGUGCCAGCAGCCGCGGUAAUACGGAGGGUGCGAGCGUUAAUCGGAAUUACUGGGCGUAAAGCGCAUGCAGGUGGUUGUUAAGUCAGAUGUGAAGACCCGGGGCGUCAACCUCGGAAUUGCAUUUGAAACUGGCAAACUAGAGUACUGUAGAGGGGGUAGGAAUUUCAGGUGUAGCGGUGAAAUAGCGUAGAGAUCUGAAGGAAUACCGGUGGCGAAGGCGGCCCCCUGGACCAGAUACUGACACUCAGAUGCGAAAGCGUGGGGAGCAAACAGGAUUAGAUACCCUCGGUAG